rfam:TPA: Bos taurus chromosome 25, whole genome shotgun sequence.
UCCCUGGUGGUCCAGUGGUUAAGACUCUGCACUUCCAAUGAAGGGAGUACAGGUUCCAUCCCUGGUCAGGGAA